rnacentral:rRNA from 1 species
AACGCUAGCGGCAGGCUUAAUACAUGCAAGUCGAGGGGUAGCAUGAUUGUAGCAAUACAAUUGAUGACGACCGGCAAACGGGUGCGGAACACGUACACAACCUUCCUACAAGUGGGGAAUAGCCCAGAGAAAUUUGGAUUAAUACCCCGUAACAUAGCGAUGUGGCAUCACAUUGCUAUUAUAGCUUCGGCGCUUGUUGAUGGGUGUGCGGCUGAUUAGAUAGUUGGCGGGGUAACGGCCCACCAAGUCUACGAUCAGUAGCUGAUGUGAGAGCAUGAUCAGCCACACGGGCACUGAGACACGGGCCCGACUCCUACGGGAGGCAGCAGUAAGGAAUAUUGGACAAUGGACGCAAGUCUGAUCCAGCCAUGCCGCGUGAAGGAUUAAGGUCCUCUGGAUUGUAAACUUCUUUUAUAAGGGACGAAAAAAGGUCUUUCUAGAUCGUCUGACGGUACCUUAUGAAUAAGCACCGGCUAACUCCGUG